CUGCAACUUGUUUUCAAAAGGUUCAGUAAGAAAAUACAUAAACAUUUAUAAGUAUAUAGAUAAGCAUAGAGAAGGAAAAAUAUUCGUUGGACCAUUUGGAACAGGAAAAUGCUGACAUCCAGUUAACCUAUAUGAAAUGUUUAUAGGUGCUCAUUAAACUGUUCUUUCAACUUUUCUGUAGGUUUGAACAUUUUCAAAAUAAAACAUUGAGGAAAAAUUUCGUGGAAGAAAGCCAGCUGGCUAGUCUGCCUGUCUUCUUCCAGUGAAUGUUCAGUGAAGACCCUUCCCUGGAGGCUCACACACUCAGGGCUCCCACCACAAAUCAAAGGUAUUCUGGCCUCCCGUCUGUCGGUCGCUUCAGGAAGUCAUCAUGGAGUCGUUCCUGUCCCCUGGGUAAUGCUUAUGUGUACACUAUUUAACUUCGGGGCUUCAGAUAUCAACUCCUCAGAAAUACUGCUGAUAUGGCCGGAAAAGAAGAAAAAAGUGAAAUAUACUUAAUUUCUAACAAUAGGGAAGUAUUCAAAUAAACGAUGGUAUUUCCAUACA
rnacentral:lncRNA from 1 species